rnacentral:rRNA from 1 species
GGUCUUUUGUUUAUAUAAAAGAUUUGGCCUGCCCAAUGAUUUAUUUAAUGGCUGCAGUAUUUUGACUGUACAAAGGUAGCAUAAUCAUUUGUCUUUUAAUUGAAGUCUGGAAUGAAAGGUUGGAUGAAAAAUUUACUUUCUUUGUUUUAUAGAAAAAAAUUAAUUUUUAAUUUAAAAAGAUUAAAUGUAAUUAAAGGACGAGAAGACCCUAUAGAACUUUAUUUUUUUUAAAUAUAUAUAAUUUUGUUUAUAAUUUUUAUAUAUUUAUGUAAAAAUUUUACUGGGGUGGUAGAAAAAAUUUAUUAACUUUUUUUUGUUAUUUCAUUUAUAUAUGAUUUUGUGAUCCUUUACUAUGGAAAAAAGAUUUAGUUACCUUAGGGAUAACAGCGUUAUUAUUUUAGAGAGCUCUAAUCGAUAGAAUAGUUUGCGACCUCGAUGUUGGAUUAAAAUAAGUUUCAGGAGUAGAAAAUUGAUUAACUAGGUCUGUUCGACCUUUAAAUUUUUACA